CAACCUAUGAUAAAAAAUGGAGGAAAAUUAAUGAAUAAUUUCCUUGCUAUAACAGUUAUUAGUGUAGGAAAUGAAAUUUUAAAAUUUUGAAGAAUUUUAUAAGGUAUUUUAAAAUAUUGAUGUAGCCCAAAUUUGAUCUAUAUGUGAUGAUUAGGAUCCAAAGGUUUUUUGCGAAUCAAAUAUACUCUCUGAUUAUAUGGAUC
rnacentral:lncRNA from 1 species